CGGCGGACGGGUGAGUAACGCGUGGGUAACCUGCCUUACACUGGGGGAUAACAGUUAGAAAUGACUGCUAAUACCGCAUAAGCGCACAGGGCUGCAUGGCCUGGUGUGAAAAACUCCGGUGGUGUAAGAUGGACCCGCGUCUGAUUAGGUAGUUGGUGGGGUAACGGCCCACCAAGCCGACGAUCAGUAGCCGACCUGAGAGGGUGAUCGGCCACACUGGGACUGAGACACGGCCCAG
rnacentral:rRNA from 1 species